GCGCCCGUAGCUCAGCUGGAUAGAGCAUCGGACUUCGAAUCCGAGGGUCGUCCGUUCGAAUCGGUCCGGGCGUG
rnacentral:tRNA from 1 species